AUGAAGGGUCGGGCCAUGGGGGCCAGGUGGCCCUGUCCGGGAGCCACAGCCUCAGCACACAGGGCCUCUGUCCCCAGGGCGCCGGCCGCAUGCUCCCCACCUCGCCCCGGCCCAGGCGUGGCCCAGGCGUGGCUCGGCCUGGCAUGGGGAGCCCCACAGGGGGCCGGCUCUCAGGCACCCCACUCCCCCGACGUGCCCCACCUGGCAGCGUCAGCACCGCGUGGAGGCGGUGUGCAGUCUGGGGUUCACCACCUAAGAAUCUCAGGAAUUUCCUCUCGGUCUGCAAAGCUGCCACGGCCUGGCCCGGCGUUCGCGAGGGCGCGGGUCUCCCCAGGCGGCAGCUGCUUUCCCAGCAAGGACAAGCCCGUUCCGCUGCUGCCGCCGGGUCCCCAGGGUGCCCAGGGCCCGAGGCGUCACUCGGACGUGCAGGGUGCCUGCACAGGGGACGGCGGCCUGCCCGUGCCCCUCUCCUGCUCAGAGGCGGGCAGAGCCAGCCGGUGCCAGCUCCCUCCGGGGGCUCUCCAACACACCCGUUCUCAGCACCUCUCCCUGGCACUCCGUGGCCCCUUCUCUCACCCGCCCGAGCACUCAGGCCGUGGGGGCGCCUGGUGGGGCUCUGCCCUGCGUCGGGUCCAGGCUGGGUCGGCGCCAGGGCACGGCCCCAAGAAGUGCUGGUGUCUCCAGGAAGUUGGCCUGGUGGUGGGCUCGCCAGGGCCCUGGCCAGCCAAGGCUGGAUGCUCUCAUCUAGGGGAUGGACACAGAGGCAGGGCACAGUCAGGGGGCUCAGGCCAGGGGAGGGAGAGGGCUGAACAGGCAGCCCAGGCUGCAGUGGGCACCUUGGGGCGACAGGUCACUCCAUCUACCUGCCCACUUUGGAGCCAGGCUCCUUCCUGUCUCCGUGGUUCUGUGGGCUUCCUGGGUCAUUCUCUGGCCCAGCUCAUUCCGCAGGGUGGGUGGGGGGAGGCCCAUAGGGGCCCCCUUGCCAUCUCCCCGGCACCCAGGCCGGGCUCAAGGGCUCCUGGUGCUCGGAGCCGAGUCCGUGGCAGCGGCAGUGGACGGAGGGCAGCUGUGGCCUGGGGCACCGGCCGGGCUGGGCUUUCUGCGUCUAGCAGCUCACGCCAGGCGUCCGCUCUUCAGUUCCAUGAACUAAGCUGCCUCCACGCCAGGCACACACCGGGCGCUCAGAGCCCACAGCGAAGCUUCCGCCCGACACAGGGGUGCAGGGCUGGCGAGGCUAGCGAGGGGCCCGGCACUUGGCGCCCCUGGAGGGCGGGGGUCGCGAGUGGAAGCUGGAGUGGCACGGGGGAGGGUGGGACGGGCAGAGCCUUCACUGCCCAGGAGGGAUCCUUGGCAGUUCCUUUGCACCGACGGGAACUGGGCCACGGUGGGCUCCAGGAGAGGGGAGGACGUGGUCCGAGGCCCCACUGCUGA
rnacentral:lncRNA from 1 species